GAUGAACGCUAGCUACAGGCUUAACACAUGCAAGUCGAGGGGAAACGAUAGAGAAAGCUUGCUUUUUCUAGGCGUCGACCGGCGCACGGGUGAGUAACGCGUAUCCAACCUGCCCAUCACUUGGGGAUAACCUUGCGAAAGUAAGACUAAUACCCAAUGACGUCUCUAGAAGACAUCUGAAAGAGAUUAAAGAUUUAUCGGUGAUGGCUGGGGAUGCGUCUGAUUAGCUUGUUGGCGGGGUAACGGCCCACCAAGGCGACGAUCAGUAGGGGUUCUGAGAGGAAGGUCCCCCACAUUGGAACUGAGACACGGUCCAAACUCCUACGGGAGGCAGCAGUGAGGAAUAUUGGUCAAUGGGCGAGAGCCAGAACCAGCCAAGUAGCGUGCAGGAUGACGGCCCUAUGGGUUGUAAACUGCUUUUAUAAGGGAAUAAAGUGAGUCUCGUGAGACUUUUUGCAUGUACCUUAUGAAUAAGGACCGGCUAAUUCCGUGCCAGCCGCCGCAGUAA
rnacentral:rRNA from 1 species